rnacentral:rRNA from 1 species
UGCGUAGAGAUCGGGAAGAACACCGGUGGCGAAAGCGCUCUGCUGGGCCGCAACUGACACUGAGGGACGAAAGCUAGGGGAGCGAAUGGGAUUAGAUACCCCAGUAGUCCUAGCUGUAAACGAUGGAAACUAGGUGUUGCCUGUAUCGACCCAGGCAGUGCCGUAGCUAACGCGUUAAGUUUCCCGCCUGGGGAGUACGCACGCAAGUGUGAAACUCAAAGGAAUUGACGGGGGCCCGCACAAGCGGUGGAGUAUGUGGUUUAAUUCGAUGCAACGCGAAGAACCUUACCAGGACUUGACAUGUCCGGAACUCCGGGGAAACUCGGAGGUGCCUUCGGGAGCCGGAACACAGGUGGUGCAUGGCUGUCGACAGCUCGUGUCGUGAGAUGUUGGGUUAAGUCCCGCAACGAGCGCAACCCUCGUUCUUAGUUGCCAUCAUUAAGUUGGGCACUCUAGGGAGACUGCCGGUGACAAACCGGAGGAAGGUGGGGAUGACGUCAAGUCAUCAUGCCCCUUACGUCCUGGGCUACACACGUACUACAAUGGCAAGGACAGAGGGCAGCCACUUCGCGAGGAGGAGCUAAUCCCGAAAACCUGGCCUCAGUUCAGAUUGCAGGCUGCAACUCGCCUGCAUGAAGGAGGAAUCGCUAGUAAUCGCAGGUCAGCAUACUGCGGUGAAUCCGUUCCCGGGCCUUGCACACACCGCCCGUC